rnacentral:sRNA from 1 species
AUUCGAGCGCAGCGAGAAAGCGUUGCCGCAGGCAACGACCCGAAGGGUGAGGAGCGGAGCGACGAAUAAUCCUUCCCUCACCACCA